rnacentral:rRNA from 1 species
GACGAACGCUGGCGGCGUGCUUAACACAUGCAAGUCGAACGAUGAAGCCGGAGCUUGCUCUGGUGAAUUAGUGGCGAACGGGUGAGUAACACGUGAGUAACCUGCCCUUGACUCUGGGAUAACUGCGGGAAACUGUAGCUAAUACCGGAUACGACCCUCGGAGGCAUCUCCUGGGGGUGGAAAGAAUUUCGGUCAAGGAUGGGAUCGCGGCCUAUCAGCGAAUUGGUGAGGUAAAGGGUCACCAAGGCGACGACGGGUAGCCGGCCGGAGAGGGUGACCGGCCACACUGGGACUGAGACACGGCCCAAACUCCUACGGGAGGCAGCAGUGGGGAAUAUUGCACAAUGGGCGCAAGCCUGAUGCAGCAACGCCGCGUGAGGGAUGACGGCCUUCGGGUUGUAAACCUCUUUUAGCAGGGAAGAAGCGAAAGUGACGGUACCUGCAGAAAAAGCACCGGCUAACUACGUGCCAGCCGCCGCCGUAA